rnacentral:rRNA from 1 species
GUAGGGAAUAUUGCUAAAUGGGCGAAAGCCUGAAGCAGCAACGCCGCGUGAACGAAGAAGGCCUUCGGGUCGUAAAGUUCUUUUAGGUGGAAUGAGGAAGGACAGUACCACCAGAAAAAGUCUCGGCUAACUACGUGCCAGCAGCCGCGGUAAAACGUAGGAGACGAGCGUUAUCCGGAUUUACUGGGCGUAAAGAGCGUGUAGGAGGCAGUACAAGUUGGAUGUGAAAGCUCCCGGCUUAACUGGGAGAGGUCGUUCAAGACUGUGCAGCUAGAGGGGAGCAGAGGUAGACGGAACUCCGGGAGUAGUGGUGAAAUGCGUAGAUAUCCGGAAGAACACCAGAGGCGAAAGCGGUCUACUGGGCUUUACCUGACACUGAGACGCGAAAGCCAGGGUAGCAAACGGGAUUAGAAACCCUAGUAGUCC